rnacentral:rRNA from 1 species
UACAGAGGGUGCGAGCGUUAAUCGGAUUUACUGGGCGUAAAGCGUGCGUAGGCGGUUGGGUAAGUCGGAUGUGAAAGCCCUGGGCUUAACCUGGGAAUGCCAUUCGAUACUGCCCGACUCGAGUUCGGUAGAGGGCGGUGGAACUCCAGGUGUAGCGGUGAAAUGCGUAGAUAUCUGGAAGAACACCGAUGGCGAAGGCAGCCCCCUGGGUCAAGCAUUGACGCUCAUGCACGGAAGCGUGGGGAGCAAACAGG